rnacentral:rRNA from 1 species
CCUACGGGAGGCAGCAGUGGGGAAUAUUGGACAAUGGGCGAAAGCCUGAUCCAGCAAUGCCGCGUGAGUGAUGAAGGCCUUAGGGUUGUAAAGCUCUUUUACCAGGGAUGAUAAUGACAGUACCUGGAGAAUAAGCUCCGGCUAACUCCGUGCCAGCAGCCGCGGUAAUACGGAGGGAGCUAGCGUUGUUCGGAAUUACUGGGCGUAAAGCGUACGUAGGCGGUUAUUCAAGUCAGAGGUGAAAGCCUGGAGCUCAACUCCAGAACUGCCUUUGAAACUAGGUAGCUAGAAUCACGGAGAGGUUAGUGGAAUUCCGAGUGUAGAGGUGAAAUUCGUAGAUAUUCGGAAGAACACCAGUGGCGAAGGCGACUAACUGGACGUGUAUUGACGCUGAGGUACGAAAGCGUGGGGAGCAAACAGGAUUAGAUACCCUGGUAGUCCACGCCGUAAACGAUGAUAACUAGCUGUUCGGUCUCUACGAGACUGAGUGGCGCAGCUACGACAUUAAGUUAUCCGUCCGUCGGGUAGGUACGGUCGGCGAAGAAUUAAACUAACAAAGGAAAGUUAGACGGCGNGAGACGNGCCGAACGGACGACGACGAGGGAGGUAGG